UACGAAGGGGGCUAGCGUUGUUCGGAUUUACUGGGCGUAAAGGGCGCGUAGGCGGAUGGCACAGUCAGAUGUGAAAUUCCUGGGCUUAACCUGGGGGCUGCAUUUGAUACGUGUGAUCUAGAGUGAGGAAGAGGGUUGUGGAAUUCCCAGUGUAGAGGUGAAAUUCGUAGAUAUUGGGAAGAACACCGGUGGCGAAGGCGGCGACCUGGUCCUUAACUGACGCUGAGGCGCGAAAGCGUGGGGAGCAAACAGG
rnacentral:rRNA from 1 species